rnacentral:lncRNA from 14 species
CACCAUGUCUAAAAUUCUUUCACAGGGCACCAAGAGGUACUGGCAGAAGAAAAUCUCUGCCAGGAGUGAUGUGCCAGCAUCCCAGUGGCUCCCACUGACUGUCUGUGGUCAACGUGAAUUAGAAGAAAGUUCUAGAGCAACUUUAUCAUCUACUGAAAGAGGCAGAUACCUUGUUAAACUUUUUAAACCAGACAGCUUAGUGCUGAUCCCAUAAAUCUCAGUAGGUUAGGGGCCACCUUGUUGGUUACAAACUUUUUGCUGUUAUGUAAGAAUAUAGUACCAUAUCGAGUAGGCACCAUUAGAAGGGUGGUAGUAGCGAAAUACAGCAUCAUUUUGCAAAUGGUAAUUUUUAAUGCCUUUUAAAGCCUCUUAAAAAUCAAACACCAGCUGUCAGGAGUCCUCUGCAGUGGAAACACAGCAGGUGCUUCAGGGGAAAAGCAGUGGAUGCUCCUGGGGUGGCCCUCACCUCUACAGAGGCACAGAAAACUCCAUGGAGCAGAAGGGGGACAUUUCAGGCGGUGGUCUACAUUGGAGCAAAGUGACCUUUUGUCAGAUUAUCGUCCAGUGUGGUGUCCAGAAUACUGCAAUACAUUCAGGAUGCAGAGAAAUCCUAAGUUCUGGUGCCUAUUUGUGGCAUGUUUGGUAAGGAAAUGUAAUCAACUAAUUACAAACAGCUGAGACCUUUACAGCAGCCAUGGCAUUUGCAUGUAAGACUGAAUAAUUACAGCUAUGGUCCUGUCCUGACCUUGAUAUUCCCAGCCAGAAAUGUUCUGCUGGGAACCAAGCCCCUUUCUUUUCCCUUUUCCCUUCAAUUCCCCUUUCUUUUUUCUUCCCCUUCCUCCUCAUCCAGUCUUAUUUAUGCCGUGUUUAUACAGCACCUGUUGUUCUGUUUGUCUGUUUUUUUUUCUAUGAGCAUCAUGUAAUACAUUAAUAUAAAAGAUAAGAAAAAACAGUGUCUGUUGACUCCUGGAACAUUAACCAGUGUUUGUCCAGAAUUUUAAUACACUGGUAUUCAUAUAAAACCCUAACAUUUCUUCUGGUACUCCCUACUUGUGAGUGGAAAGGCUGAGAUACUGCAGAAGAACAGAAAAAUUUCACCUGCAAAGACCUCCCAAACCCAUGACAAACCUGAAAACCCUGAUAAGGAAAAUUAGACCUCUGUAUUUAUCUGUUUUUUAUCCAAUCAUGCAAUUCCAUAUGGCAGUGGUACAAACUGCUUUGAGAACUUCUGGAACUGAUUUUUUCACUACACUAAUGAAGAUUGUUGUGCUGCUUUAUAAGCAAAAAAUCUCCAUAAUGUAUAGUCUGCACUUGAUACUGUCACGUUUACAACAAUAUUCCAGUGACUCUUGAAAAAAUGGGAAAAGUUAUUGACUCAGUAUAUAAUAAAACUUCUCAGUACAACA